AAGAAGAUCAAAGAUUUGGUAAAGUAUAAAUGACAAUAGGCAUUGUUACGUACACCAGUUCUUUUCUAGGUGACAUCAGAGAUGUGACGUCACGAAGUGGUGAUGACGCAACAGAAGAACCCACUUCAAAAGUAAGCGAUAUGCUGCAAAAGAAAAGCGCAAGACAAAGAGUAAAGACGAGCAAGACGAUGAAGAUGCCGGUUUGAGGUUUUGCUUAGGCUUACGGAGUUGUGUGUUGUUGGGGUGUGGUUGCUGGAGCACUCUUACAGUGUUGCCGGAUUUGUGUUUGUGUCUCAUUUUUGCUGGACCUAAUGUGGCCAGCCUUUUUGUCAGUCACUCCUUUAGUGCAUUUUGCAUGUCACUGAAAUAUAUGCAAUGAAACUAUGGCAAACAUCUUGCUGGAUCGGAUUUUGUUUUUGUACACGUCAUUAUGUGUUUCUUCUGCAAAGGUCGAAUCUUUUAGCGAUUCUGUAUUGUCCCAAUCACUUGGUAAUAACGGCAUGUUGGUACACAAAUACUUUAGUAAUAUCCACGCGCAUUAUAAUAUAGACGCAGUUAAACUUUUAAAUUUGAAAUCCCUCGUUUUUCACUAAUUAAUUGUUCUCGUUGACCAGUUUCUGUUCAUGACCCCCAUUAAUCUGUUUCUGUUUAAAAAGCCUAAUUGUGACGCUGGCCACGUUACAAUUACGCUAUACGUCGAUGGGUCUUUGAGGCCCUGCGUUCGGUGCGGUUACGUCACGGUUCUAGAUUGAGCUAUGUUAUACUGUUGGGUUGUUGCGUGGACGUCACCGCCAGUGAUGCUACGCUAGUUUUAGGUCACUACCGGUACAGUGAUGCUACUCCCAGGAAUUUAGAUCACUAUUAGUGCGGUUCGCAAUAUCCUGACUCAGUUUCAUGGCGGUCGAAGCGGUGCUUAACAUCCGAACGAUAUUAUAUUGCGUAAAGAUGCGACGAGAGUAUCGCGGUACCAACAUGGCGGCUUGUCAGGCGAUUGGGACAUACGGAGCCGUUAUUGGCUUCGACUCCUUGUGGCCGGACAUAGAAUAAUUUGUACACAACAGAUGAUUAUCCUUCAGGAUUUGAACCAUAUUUUCUUUGAAGAUGUUUCAAUGAUUAUGUCCGUGUUAAUUAACUUUUUAUAAUCGUCCAUUUUUUGGAUAUGAUUGAGCUGUUGUGUGUAUUGCAUGUUUUUCUGCACGUUUUGUAUUUGCACCUCGUA